ensembl:lncRNA novel transcript
AGGAAAGAUGACAAUAUGAAGACCUUGAAUACUGCCUUAGUUUUGCAAAAGACCUUGCUAGGCCUUCCUGUUUAGGUCAAGAAAAGUCCCCAGAGAAGGUCUUAAGGAAGAAGAAAGAGGUUAAGAAAACUGGACAUAACCUGAGCCAAAAUUUUGACAUGGAUAUAUCCUCAUAGAACAAGACAAAAUACUGUAAGCAGGGUGGAUGGCUCUGUGUGAUGGUCUUGGUUGCAUACUCCCCUUCACUAAGGUCAAACAAAACCCAAAAGUCUCUUGUAAACACCUCUCAUUUUCAUUGUCCAUGUGGAGAAGCUCAAAGCUUUCAUUUGGCCCAAGUGACAUCCUAACCACUUUACAGCCUGUUCAGGUCCACUUUAUAAUAUUGCACACGUUGGAAAUGAAACUGGCGCUUAUGACUCCCAGAAGUAUAAAUUUUAAUGAAGAUUCUAAAAACUUUAUCUUGGCCCUGUGAUGGUGCAGAUUGAAAAAAAUUUCCAUUUCUGACAUGUCUAUAAUGAACUUCAUUGCUGCUUUUUAAAAAUUUUUCCUUUUGAUAAGAAAUUAAAGACUGAUUUCCUCUCUACAAAAGAAAAUGCCACUUUAUUCCCCAUACACACCCUCUCUCUUAGUAAAACAACUCUGAUUUUUAUAGCUGGGCAUCUUGCCACCCAGUUAAAGAUGUAUUCCCUUGCAGCUAAAUAAGGCCAAGUGACUAUGCUCUUGCCAAUAAUAUGUAAACUGAAGUGUAGCAAGGUACUUUUGGGAAGUCUCUUUAAAAAGCAUCAUUUCUUUUGUAUUUGUCCCUUCAUCUUCCUGCUACUCAAGAUGUGCAUAUAAUGGCAGGCACUUCUGUAGGCAUUUUGGAUCAUGAAAUGUCUUUGAUGGAAACUAAGAAAAGUAGAGAAACAGAAUUGAAGGUUUCACAAUUCUAAAACCUUUGUAAAAGUUUUGUAAAAGGUUUUACAAUUGAAGGUAAUUAAUAUUACACUAUUAAUUAUAGUAAAGGUCAUGCUUCUGUGGAAAAAAAAAAGAGUCCCUUGACAUGAUGGUUCAAACAAGUUAGGAAAGGCAGACUGUGCUUCUCAAAAUCAGCCAGAGAAUCAGACUGGCUGAGCACACUGCCAUCCUCAAUGCAUGGCUUCUAGAUUGCUUUAGCCUUUAUCAUUUGAAGCCAAUAGGAAGCAAGGAGAACAUCAAAGCACAUAAUUAAUGACCGAAAGCAUCCAUCACUUCUGCUCAAAUCAUUUUGGGAAUGUCAUAGUCUUCUUGAUCACACUUGAAUGCUGGGGAAGCUAAGCAGUGUAGUACAACUGGACAAUCAGUUCCUGUGUCCAAGAACUUUUUAAAGACAGUAGGGUAGAAUGCUUACUUGUAAUCAAAAAGCAGUCUCCACCAAAACUGUAGGUCUUCAUAUUCUAUCCAGAUGGUAAAAAGUUAACUUUUCUCUUGUUUAGCUUACUACACGCCGGGCCUUUAUUAUUUAUAGUUGAACAUCAUCUUCAUUGAUAUACCCCUUUUAUGUUUUUUCAAUGAACCUCAUCUGUAAAUCAUUAACUGGAUUAUUAGAUAAGUGCUAAAUAAUCCCCAGCUGUAAAAUUCUAAGAAUAAUUAAAACUUCCUUUCUUAACAUUCUUAGUGAACAACUUACAGGUUAAAAAACAAACCCAAAGAGAUUAUUUCCUGCAAAGAGCCUUUAGUAUGGUAGCACCUACUUCUAGAAGGCCUGUCAUAAACUGUCAUCUAGUGAAAGUGAUGAAGAAGAGUGGCUGGGAGUCAAUCUUAUCAGGAGCUGGAACAGGUGAAGCCCUCACCAGUGAAAAAUCUUGACAGAUGCAGCUACUAAGAUUUCCUACUACAAAGAAUAACAGCAGUUAGAAAAGCAGACUCCCUGUGGUGGCGACCAGUAUCUUCAAACUCAUACCAGAGUAAAGCCUUAUCCAUUUGGAGUUCUUUCUGAUGCAUUAUGUGAGAAAAACAAGCAAACAAAUGAACACUUAUUUGUAUUUGAAUUGCACUAAAUUUAUACAUGAAACUGAAAAAAACUGAUAUCUUUAUGAAGCUGCAUAAUCCUAUCCAAGGACAGACGUCUCCUUCCAUUUGCUUUUGCUUUACUAAUUUGAAUCUAUGUUAUUUGAUUCAGGGGGUACAUGUGCAGUUUAUGUGAUUACACUGCAUGAUGCUGAGAAUGGGGUAUGGAUCCUGUCACGCAGAUAUUUUGGAUACAUCUGGAAUUGACUUUUUUGCAUGGUGUAAGAGCCAGCUCUUCUUCAGGAUAAGCAUGCCUGGUUUCUUCAACUUAUUCCACAAGAGUGAACAAGUAAGGUCUCCCCUGGACUAUUGUGUCUUCUACCUGAAAGUCAAGACUUCUUGCUGUCUUCUCUCCAUUCCAACCUCCAUGGGAAGAAGAGAUAAUAACAUUUUCUGGCUGUAUAAAAAAAAAGUACCAGGAAUUUUUUGUUGAUUGCAGAAAUAACAGUUCUUCCUGGAUCAGCCCUCUCCCGUCUGUCAUCUCCAACAGAUACAAAGCCAGCUUUAAGAAGACCAAACCUACAAAAAUCAUUCAUGCUUUCUGCCUCCAUGUUUUUCUUUCCAACCUAGUUCCUCCAGAAAAUGUAAAAGAGCAACCGAACCGUCAACUGGUACAAUGACUUCUACACAUCAGACCUCGGCCACGCCACAGUCAUCAGAUUAUUCUAUCACAGGGUCUCUCAACCGUGGAAUAUGGUCUCCAAGGGAAACAAGCCACAGAGGGCUCAGGAGCAUUGCUAUAAAGAGUAGGCAAAUGGAAAUCUUUCCCCAAAGGGCACACUGGGAUUGUUAGGCGAGGGCUGCUCAAUCCAUUAAA